GCAGUUUAACAGCCGGGAACAAGGAGAAGUCAGCAUUAUGUGCAUGUCCACAGACCACAGCUUGAUUACUACUAGACAAUCACGGAACGAGGAAGCUGGAGUGUAACUGAGGACAGGGAUCCUGGGGGGAAAGAACAGGAGAAGGAAAAUAACUGAGCCUCCUGGUAGUCAGCAGCAGUUGACAAAUGACCUGAUUCCACAGGUGCUUCAAAAUGGAUUCCUUGAGGACCUGUUCCAUGAUUUUGCAUCUGGAUGAGGAUUUUGCCUCUGGGUGGGACCCCUUUGCAAUAAAAAAAUCCAUUAUUUUCUCUGCUUUAGUACCCCCCAAUCUAGAAUGAAUCCACCACCCUUUGAGAAGGUUGCCAAGAGAAACUGAACAUCAGAGUAUUUUACCCACCCUGAACAAAACCUGCCAUUAUCUCUGUGCCCACCACAACUUCUCAUCAGGAUUCCUAUUCAUACACUUCCACUCCAACACAAC